rnacentral:rRNA from 1 species
AGAGUUUGAUCCUGGCUCAGAUUGAACGCUGGCGGCAUGCUUUACACAUGCAAGUCGAACGGUAACAGGGUGCUUGCACCGCUGACGAGUGGCGAACGGGUGAGUAAUGCAUCGGAAUGUACCGUGUAAUGGGGGAUAGCUCGGCGAAAGCCGGAUUAAUACCGCAUACGCCCUGAGGGGGAAAGUGGGGGACCGUAAGGCCUCACGUUAUACGAGCAGCCGAUGUCUGAUUAGCUAGUUGGUGGGGUAAAGGCUCACCAAGGCUUCGAUCAGUAGCGGGUCUGAGAGGAUGAUCCGCCACACUGGGACUGAGACACGGCCCAGACUCCUACGGGAGGCAGCAGUGGGGAAUUUUGGACAAUGGGCGCAAGCCUGAUCCAGCCAUGCCGCGUGUCUGAAGAAGGCCUUCGGGUUGUAAAGGACUUUUGUCCGGGAGCAAAUCCCAGUGGUUAAUACCUACUGGGGCUGAGAGUACCGGAAGAAUAAGCACCGGCUAACUAC